rnacentral:rRNA from 1 species
UACAGAGGGUGCAAGCGUUGUUCGGAAUUACUGGGCGUAAAGAGCUCGUAGGUGGUUUGUCGCGUUGUUCGUGAAAACUCACAGCUCAACUGUGGGCGUGCGGGCGAUACGGGCAGACUUGAGUACUGCAGGGGAGACUGGAAUUCCUGGUGUAGCGGUGGAAUGCGCAGAUAUCAGGAGGAACACCGGUGGCGAAGGCAGGUCUCUGGGCAUUAACUGACGCUGAGGAGCGAAAGCAUGGGGAGCGAACAGG